rnacentral:misc_RNA from 1 species
GAUGAAGAACGUAGCGAAAUGCGAUAAGUAAUGUGAAUUGCAGAAUUCAGUGAAUCAUCGAAUCUUUGAACGCACAUUGCGCCCGCUAGUAUUCUGGCGGGCAUGCCUGUCCGAGCGUCAUUUCAACCCUCAAGCCCCCGGGCUUGGUGUUGGGGAUCGGCGGAGCCCCCCGUGGGCACACGCCGUCCCCCAAAUGCAGUGGCGGUCCCGCCGCAGCUUCCAUCGCGUAGUAGCUAACACCUCGCGACUGGAGAGCGGCGCGGCCACGCCGUAAAACACCCAACUCUUCUGAAGUUGACCUCGAAUCAGGUAGGAAUACCCGCUGAACUUAAGCAUAUCAAUAAGCGGAGGA